GAUGAAGAACGCAGCGAAAUGCGAUAAGUAAUGUGAAUUGCAGAAUUCAGUGAAUCAUCGAAUCUUUGAACGCACCUUGCGCUCCUUGGUAUUCCGAGGAGCAUGCCUGUUUGAGUGUCAUGAAAUUCUCAACCUUUUCAGCUUUCUUUGUUGAUCAGGCUUGGAUGUGGGAGUAUGCGGGCUUCUCAGAAGUCGGCUCUCCUGAAAUGCAUUAGCGGGACCUUUGUUGCCUGGCUUUGGUGUGAUAAUUAUCUACGCCAUUGUAGUCAAGCAGCUUAAAAUGAGGUUUCAGCUUCUAACCGUCUCCCCUGAGACAACUUUUUGACAAUUUGACCUCAAAUCAGGUAGGACUACCCGCUGAACUUAAGCAUAUCAAUAAGCGGAGGA
rnacentral:misc_RNA from 1 species